rnacentral:rRNA from 1 species
GGUUGCGAUCAUACCAGCACUAAUGCACCGGAUCCCAUCAGAACUCCGCAGUUAAGCGUGCUUGGGCGAGGGUAGUACUAGGAUCGGUGACCCCCUGGGAAGUCCUCAUGUUGCAACCU